rnacentral:rRNA from 1 species
UACAGAGGUGGCAAGCGUUGUUCGGAAUUACUGGGCGUAAAGGGCGCGUAGGCGGUUCGUUAAGUCCUGUGUGAAAUCCCCCGGCUCAACUGGGGAACUGCACAGGAAACUAGCGGGCUUGAGUUCGGGAGAGGGAAGCGGAAUUCCGGGUGUAGCGGUGAAAUGCGUAGAUAUCCGGAGGAACACCGGUGGCGGAAGGCGGCUUCCUGGACCGACACUGACGCUGAGGCGCGAAAGCUAGGGGAGCAAACGGG